AUGAGAAAAUAUUGUAGUUUGCAAAUGGUGAUAGCGAUGGAGAAGGAUCUAUUGCGUGCCUUGCCUUGGUACCAAUGCUUUAUGCGUGUGCGUGUCGGACCAGCUAGUUGUGCCAUGUUAAUUAAUUGCUAUUCCAGUAUGAAUUUUGUGAGUAAGACUGUAGUUGAUGCCUUGAACUUGCCGUUGAUUGAACAUUCACAACCAUAUGAGUUUUGGUUGAUGGACAAGUUUGAUCAAGAUCAUGCAUCCCGUCGAAGUAGUUUCCCUUUAUGCGGAUAUGGUGAUCUAGUCGUGUGUGAUGUGCUUCCUAUGCAUAUGCAUGUGAGUUCUAUACUGUUGGGAAAACCCUGGACAGACUUGAGACAAUUAAGUUAUCAUUAUGAUGAUGAAUUUUCUUUGGUAUGGAAGGGUCGACUUAUACUACUUGACUCAUAUACCCUGGAGCGAUACAAGGAAGAUCGCCAAAGACGUGAUCAUGCUCUGGAAGCAAUUGAUGUGAAGGUACUCAAUGACCAAGAGAAAGCAGACGUGGACAUUCAACAUGCAGAAUUUUUGGCAUCGAUAGUUUCUGCGGAUGCAUAUGCUGAGACGAUAUACUUGACACCGAGGAGGGUUUCGUUUCAGGGAGGAGAGGAUGAUAUGGCAAACACUAGAUCUAUUUGUACCGUCGACCACCAUUACAUACAAGAAGUUGGUCUGGUUUAA
rnacentral:rRNA from 1 species